CAUGCUGCCUCCAUCUUCUUUUCUGGGACUUGUUAGGCAGGAGCCCUGAUGAAUCUUGGACUCCAGGUAGGCUGUUGCAUUCCGGAUGACCUCAAGAUCUGGUGAGUGCGAUUCCACAAUUAUUUUUUGUCAUUAACCUUUUGAUGUGUCA